AAAUUGAAGAGUUUGAUCAUGGCUCAGAUUGAACGCUGGCGGCAGGCCUAACACAUGCAAGUCGAGCGGAAACGAGUUAUCUGAACCUUCGGGGGACGAUAACGGCGUCGAGCGGCGGACGGGUGAGUAAUGCCUAGGAAAUUGCCCUGAUGUGGGGGAUAACCAUUGGAAACGAUGGCUAAUACCGCAUGAUGCCUACGGGCCAAAGAGGGGGACCUUCGGGCCUCUCGCGUCAGGAUAUGCCUAGGUGGGAUUAGCUAGUUGGUGAGGUAAGGGCUCACCAAGGCGACGAUCCCUAGCUGGUCUGAGAGGAUGAUCAGCCACACUGGAACUGAGACACGGUCCAGACUCCUACGGGAGGCAGCAGUGGGGAAUAUUGCACAAUGGGCGCAAGCCUGAUGCAGCCAUGCCGCGU
rnacentral:rRNA from 1 species